GACGAACGCUGGCGGCGUGCUUAACACAUGCAAGUCGAACGGAAAGGCCCUGCUUUUGUGGGGUGCUCGAGUGGCGAACGGGUGAGUAACACGUGAGUAACCUGCCCUUGACUUUGGGAUAACUUCAGGAAACUGGGGCUAAUACCGGAUAGGAGCUCCUGCUGCAUGGUGGGGGUUGGAAAGUUUCGGCGGUUGGGGAUGGACUCGCGGCUUAUCAGCUUGUUGGUGGGGUAGUGGCUUACCAAGGCUUUGACGGGUAGCCGGCCUGAGAGGGUGACCGGCCACAUUGGGACUGAGAUACGGCCAAGACUCCUACGGGAGGCAGCAGUGGGGAAUAUUGCACAAUGGGCGGAAGCCUGAUGCAGAAACGCCGCGUGCGGGAUGACGGCCUUCGGGUUGUAAACCGCUUUCGCCUGUGACGAAGCGUGAGUGACGGUAAUGGGUAAAGAAGCACCGGCUAACUACGUG
rnacentral:rRNA from 1 species